rnacentral:misc_RNA from 1 species
AACAACACUCAAGCCUGGCUUGGUAUUGGGCCUUUGGAGACCAGUUCCGGCCCCAAAUUCGUUGGCUAUGAAUUAGUAAAUGGGAGGUCCUGUAGCAUGGCGCCGCAACUAUCGACACGUUUUUGCGCGCGCGGAGUUUGUCCCGCCCUGCCUUACGCGUUCGCAUCGGUGACUCGGACCGAACAGAA